rnacentral:rRNA from 1 species
CGGAGCGUAAGCGACGUUCAACACAAAAAUCAGGCAGUGGAGCGUUUUGGGGUGGGGUGACUGCGUACCUUUUGUAUAAUGGGUCAGCGACUUAUAUUCUGUAGCAAGGUUAACCGCAUAGGGGAGCCGGAGGGAAACCGAGUCUUAAUUGGGCGUUAAGUUGCAGGGUAUAGACCCGAAACCCGGUGAUCUAGCCAUGGGCAGGUUGAAGGUUGGGUAACACUAACUGGAGGACCGAACCGACUAAUGUUGAAAAAUUAGCGGAUGACCUGUGGCUGGGGGUGAAAGGCCAAUCAAACCGGGAGAUAGCUGGUUCUCCCCGAAAGCUAUUUAGGUAGCGCCUCGUGAAUUCAUCUCCGGGGGUAGAGCACUGUUUCGGCCAGGGGGCCAUCCCGGCUUACCAAUCCGAUGCAAACUGCGAAUACCGGAGAAUGUUAUCACGGGAGACACACGGCGGGUGCUAACGUCCGUCGUGAAGAGGGAAACAACCCAGACCGCCAGCUAAGGUCCCAAAGUCAUGGUUAAGUGGGAAACGAUGUGGGAAGGCCCAGACAGCCAGGAUGUUGGCUUAGAAGCAGCCAUCAUUUAAAGAAAGCGUAAUAGCUCACUGGUCGAGUCGGCCUGCGCGGAAGAUGUAACGGGGCUAAACCAUGCACCGAAGCUGCGGCAGCGACACUGAUGUGUUGUUGGGUAGGGGAGCGUUCUGUAAGCCGUUGAAGGUGGCCUGUGAGGGUUGCUGGAGGUAUCAGAAGUGCGAAUGCUGACAUAAGUAACGAUAAAGCGGGUGAAAAGCCCGCUCGCCGGAAGACCAAGGGUUCCUGUCCAACGUUAAUCGGGGCAGGGUGAGUCGACCCCUAAGGCGAGGCCGAAAGGCGUAGUCGAUGGGAAACGGGUUAAUAUUCCCGUACUUGGUGUUACUGCGAAGGGGGGACGGAGAAGGCUAUGUUGGCCGGGCGACGGUUGUCCCGGUUUAAGCGUGUAGGUGUGUGUUCCAGGUAAAUCCGGUUCACUUUAACACUGAGGCGUGACGACGAGGCACCACGGUGCUGAAGCAACAAAUGCCCUGCUUCCAGGAAAAGCCUCUAAGCCUCAGGUAACAUCAAAUCGUACCCCAAACCGACACAGGUGGUCAGGUAGAGAAUACCAAGGCGCUUGAGAGAACUCGGGUGAAGGAACUAGGCAAAAUGGUGCCGUAACUUCGGGAGAAGGCACGCUGACACGUAGGUGAAGUGGUUUACCCAUGGAGCUGAAGUCAGUCGAAGAUACCAGCUGGCUGCAACUGUUUAUUAAAAACACAGCACUGUGCAAACACGAAAGUGGACGUAUACGGUGUGACGCCUGCCCGGUGCCGGAAGGUUAAUUGAUGGGGUCAGCGCAAGCGAAGCUCCUGAUCGAAGCCCCGGUAAACGGCGGCCGUAACUAUAACGGUCCUAAGGUAGCGAAAUUCCUUGUCGGGUAAGUUCCGACCUGCACGAAUGGCGUAAUGAUGGCCAGGCUGUCUCCACCCGGGACUCAGUGAAAUUGAACUCGCUGUGAAGAUGCAGUGUACCCGCGGCAAGACGGAAAGACCCCGUGAACCUUUACUAUAGCUUGACACUGAACACUGGUCCUUGAUGUGCAGGAUAGGUGGGAGGCUUUGAAGUGUGGACGCCAGUCUGCAUGGAGCCAUCCUUGAAAUACCACCCUUUAAUGGCUGGUGUUCUAACGUGGGCCCGUGAACCGGGUUGCGGACAGUGUCUGGUGGGUAGUUUGACUGGGGCGGUCUCCUCCUAAAGAGUAACGGAGGAGCACGAAGGUUGGCUAAUCCUGGUCGGACAUCAGGAGGUUAGUGCAAUGGCAUAAGCCAGCUUGACUGCGAGCGUGACGGCGCGAGCAGGUGCGAAAGCAGGUCAUAGUGAUCCGGUGGUUCUGAAUGGAAGGGCCAUCGCUCAACGGAUAAAAGGUACUCCGGGGAUAACAGGCUGAUACCGCCCAAGAGUUCAUAUCGACGGCGGUGUUUGGCACCUCGAUGUCGGCUCAUCACAUCCUGGGGCUGAAGUAGGUCCCAAGGGUAUGGCUGUUCGCCAUUUAAAGUGGUACGCGAGCUGGGUUUAGAACGUCGUGAGACAGUUCGGUCCCUAUCUGCCGUGGGCGCUGGAAGAUUGAGGGGGGCUGCUCCUAGUACGAGAGGACCGGAGUGGACGCAUCACUGGUGUUCGGGUUGUCAUGCCAAUGGCACUGCCCGGUAGCUACAUGCGGAAGAGAUAAGUGCUGAAAGCAUCUAAGCACGAAACUUGCCCCGAGAUGAAUCUUCCCUGAGCCUUUAAGGCUCCUGAAGGAACGUUGAAGACGACGACGUUGAUAGGCCGGGUGUGUAAGCGCAGCGAUGCGUUGAGCUAACCGGUACUAAUGAACCGUGAGGCUUAACCUUACAACGCCGAAG